rnacentral:rRNA from 1 species
GAUGAACGCUGACAGAAUGCUUAACACAUGCAAGUCAACUUGAAUUUGGGUUUUUAACUUCGGUUUGGGUGGCGGACGGGUGAGUAACGCGUAAAGAACUUGCCUCACAGCUAGGGACAACAUUUGGAAACGAAUGCUAAUACCUAAUAUUAUGAUAAUAGGGCAUCCUAUAAUUAUGAAAGCUAUAAGCGCUGUGAGAGAGCUUUGCGUCCCAUUAGCUAGUUGGAGAGGUAACGGCUCACCAAGGCGAUGAUGGGUAGCCGGCCUGAGAGGGUGAUCGGCCACAAGGGGACUGAGACACGGCCCUUACUCCUACGGGAGGCGGCAGUGGGGAAUAUUGGACAAUGGACCGAGAGUCUGAUCCAGCAAUUCUGUGUGCACGAUGAAGUUUUUCGGAAUGUAAAGUGCUUUCAGUUGGGAAGAAACAAAUGACGGUACCAACAGAAGAAGUGACGGCUAAAUACGUG